rnacentral:rRNA from 1 species
AUACGGAAGGUCCGGGCGUUAUCCGGAUUUAUUGGGUUUAAAGGGAGCGCAGGCGGAGAUGCAAGCGUGACGUCAAAUUUCGGGGCUCAACCCCGUCUCGCGUCGCGAACUGCGUCCCUUGGUUGCGGGAAGGGGAGGCGGAACUCGCGGUGUAGCGGUGAAAUGCAUAGAUAUCACGAAGAACUCCGAUCGCGAAGGCAGCCUUCCGGCCCGUCAACGACGCUCAUGCUCGAAGGUGCGGGUAUCAAACAGGAUUAGAUACCCUGGUAGUCCGCACAGUAAACGAUGGACACCCGCGGUUUGGCCUAUAUGGCUGAGCCGCCAAGCGAAAGCGUUAAGUGUCCCACCUGGGGAGUACGCCGGCAACGGUGAAACUCAAAUGAAUUGACGGGG